rnacentral:lncRNA from 1 species
AUUUAGAUGUUUGUGCAGCUCAUUGGCAGCUUCAACCUGCCACGACUCCCAUGCCUCAACAUAAUGAGCAAAAAGCUCACUUGCAGCUGUAACAUUUGGCAAAUGGAAACAUUUCAACCUCUUCGUUAAGGCAAUAACUACAUGGGAUAUAAACACAGGUUCACAUGAACAAAAAAGCACAUUUUACUCUAGUAGGAGCUAAAUUGAUUUUAGGCAAUAACUACAUGGGAUAUAAACACAGGUUGACAUGAACAAAAAAAGCACAUUUUACUCUAGUAGGAGCUAAAUUGGGUGCUAGAAAUUGGAUACAUUAAACUUGAGAAAUGUAGUCUAUCAUAAGUAGUUUUUAAAAUUGCAGAAGCAAUUGACACCUAGAAAUCUUUUCAAGAGCAUGCUAUAGACUGUUGGGCGUACAAAAUCAUCAUUCUAAUUAAUUAAUUGGUAAAUAUACAAUAUAAAACAAGAAAAAGAGCAACAAGCAAAUUGGAGUAUACUCUUCAGAAAAGCAGAAGCCUUAGUGAUCAAAGGUAGCAUUUUCUUGUUUCUUCUCUUUGUUUGUGGCAUUUCUUAUACGUUCCCCAACAUUAUGAAGUCUACUUACUAAAAAUCUUUAAUGAUUGACUGCUAGUUCUAAAUAUC